CCGCUGGCCGUGUGCACGUGCGUUCGAGCACGGGCGUGAGAGCUUUCUCCAAAGAGGUGGCACUGCAGUCCUGCCAGCACAGCCGCGUGGCUCUCUUUCCGGAGGUGUCUCCUUCCCGGGCCCACUCGCGCACCACCUUCCUCUGCUCGUGCUCGUUCGCGAGCUAGCUGGCUCACGGGCACCCGCACCAUGCAGCGUAGCACUGGCGCCUUGCACGUGAGGUUUACCAUCUGCGGAUGCUUCCGAGAGGACCCGAGGAUGAACCUUGUCGCGUUUUAAAGUUGUUGCCCCUUAGACUGGGAAAGCAGAUUCAAAUUAACGGAACUCUCCAACACCCAAAGGGGGAACGGACCUGAAGUAUUGUUUGUAAUAAAUGCUUCUCACUAAAUAGAAAAGCAAAUUUCUCAUAAUUCUACUCCAAAAGGGUGAAACACAUGUUUUUGAUAGACAUACAACUGUGACAAAUAACUUAGCCUUCUUUUAAAGAAAGGUACCUGUGGAACUUUCAAUAUGUUUGGUCCAGGGCACUAUUAGAUGUUGCCCUGUUAGAAGAAAUGUGCCACUGUUGGGGUGGGCUUUGAGACCCCUCUCCUAGCUGCCUGGAAUACAGUCUGCUCCUUACUUCUUUUGGAUGAAGAUGUCGAACUCUCAGCUCCUCCAAUGUCAUGCCUGCCUGGUUGCAGCCAUCCUUCCUGUCAUGAUGAUAAUGGACUGAAUCACAGAACCUGUAAGCCUGCAUCAAGUCUGCAGGAUUAGGCACAUCCUCUCCCACUGAGGCUAGAUGUGGCAGCCCUCUGCUACAUAUGCGUCAGGGGCCUUGAACCAGGCCCUGUAUGCUUUUUGGAUGGUGGAUCAGUCUCUAGAAGCUCCCAGAGGUCCAGGUUAUUUGCUUUGUGGAUGAGUUUUCCAAAACUGACAGGGAAUGGAAUGCCUGAAUCCAAUUUAAUAUGGACAGGAGGGCCCCUAGGGCUUUUCCCAAUAGAAAAUAUUACCUUGCCUGUCUUUUGUUCAUCUGCAUUCAUUAGUCCAAUGUAGGCCUUUGCCAUGCCUUCUGCAUACUCCAGAAAGCUGGGGCCUUCUUUUUGGAUUAUCUCUAUGAAAAAAAAUAUUUCUAGAAAUGCCUUGCCUACAAUCUCUUUUCAUAUGAACUUGCUUAUCACAAUUAAAACAUCUGAUGUUUUUGUUUUUCUUCAAACUUUUAGAAAUUAUUUCUCCUAUCAAAGUAGCAUCAUAAACAUGAGAUCCAAUAUUGCCAUAUUUCCAAUCCAUUCAUCUAUUGGUUCUGAUGUUGCCUUGAAAGGCCUAAUCGCCCCUUUGCAUUCAGAAUUAGCAUUUUCAAAAGCCAAAGAUCUCAUUAAUAUUUGUCUGACUUCUGAAUCUGAUACUAUUUUAUUUACAGCUGAAGUCAACCUUUGCAAAAAAAAAAUAGUGAAGGCUGAUUUUGGGCCUUGCAUAAUUUCAGUAAAUGAUACAGCCCUCUUUCCUGGUUCUUCAACAUAAACAGAAACCCUAAAAUAAUGUCCUUUCUGGUAUCAUUUUGGAAGUCACCAAGGAGCAUUUCAUUCUGAUAUAAUUUUCUUUUCUUUACUAUAUCCAUGACUUAAUGUUCUAUUUUCCAAAUUUUGUGCAACUUUUUACAUUAAGUUUUAGAAUUCUAAAUUUUUCCAAUAGCCCUUUCUGGUUAUUUCAUAAAUGUAGUAUGCUCUCCAAUGUUUCUAAGAAUAUCCGAGAUUCUUUGGCAGCUUUAUGUUCAGCUUUCAUGUUGGAGUUUCCUCAAAUGUUGAGUGAUUCUUAGUUGUCAGUGUAUAUUGAGUUCAAGUGACUAUAAGUUAUGUCAUAAUGAGCAGGGUUUUUAGUCUUUGGGUCUCACUGUAGCAAAUAGUUAAAUGCCAAAUUAUUGUUCAUCUUUUCUGGAUGGGUUGGACAUGUCUGGAUAUACAUGCCCAUAACAGCCAGGUAAAGAAUGCAUGCAGGUUCACAAUGUUCUUAAUACUGGCAUUCUCAGUUUCCUUGUCCUCAACAUAGCUUUGGUCCUGUCUUUCCGUUCUCAGUUUUGUUUGGCUCAGUUUCUCUAGAAAAAUAAGCCUUCUGUAAUUUUUGUUUGUUUGUUUGUUUUUGUUUUUGUUUUUUAUUUUUCGAGACAGGGUUUCUCUAUGUAGCGCUGGCUGUCCUGGAACUCACUCUGUAGACCAGGCUGGCUGUGAACUCAGAAACCCACCUGCCUCUGCCUCCCAAGUGCUGGGAUUAAAGGCGUGCGCCACCACUUUUGUUCCUCAUGCCUACUUUCAGUUGUCCCUUUAGCCUUUGAAUGGUGUAGAAAGCAGCACUUGUCUUCUACAUUUGUAGACUUUUUCUUUCUCUAAACAUUUAUCUUUGCUAUUUUUAAAUUGUAUGUAUUUGUGUCUGUGUAUGUGCACAAAAAGACAUUGGAUCCCUUGGAGACAGAGUUUACAGGAGGAUGUUAGCCACCAGACAUGGGUGAGAAACCAGACAAAGGUUUCUAUAAGAGUGCUCUUAGCCAUAGGGCCAUCUCCCUAGCUCCUUUUUUUCUGCUAUGGAAACUAAAUGAACUUAGCUGCUGGAACAUUGCUACCUACACCUUUUUCCCUAAAAGAGCUAUAAAUUGGCCUUUUCCUCUAUGAAGAAAAUAAGUACUUUAAAAGCCCACCAAUAAGGAUCAACAAAACACAACCACUUCUACGUACAAUUGAAGACAGCACUAUGAAAAUUAGAAAUGAUUUAAUUGUUAGUAUGAGUUAUUUUCACUCAAUACCAUGUCUCUUCAAUAAAGACUCUGAUCUGU
ensembl:antisense 9630001P10Rik RIKEN cDNA 9630001P10 gene